GACUUCCCCUAGCUGUGAAGAAGGCAGCUGCAAUUUGAGAGCAGCUUCUAUGACCCGCCUCCUGGCACUACCGGGGCGAGUCCAGCCAGAGACGGCUGGAGAUCCACAGAGCCCAGGAGGCUUGGACUGGAGCUCAGGAACCGAGCUCGGACCCUAGUAUCAAGGUCCUCCUUCUCCAUUGAUAGUCUAUGCUGGAGAGAAAAUUGGUUCUUUCCCCAAUUUAAAGGUGUGUCUGAUCAGAAGGAGCGGGAGUGUCUCUGAGAAGCAAAGAGGGAACCUCACUUCUCUGGGAUUUCAGGAGCCAAAUCAGGCACAAAGAAUCUUUAACUCAAUACAUCCUGUGAACAUCAAGGGAGAGAGCUAUCUUAUUGAGCAGAUUAAAAAAAAAAAGAGGACAAAAAAGAAUCAACAAGACUGAUCAAUCUAUUUAAAAAACAAAAACAAAAAUCUAUGUAAUGCUACAUACCUGUGGACCUCUCACUAUUGCAAAGGAGUGUGUGUGUAUGUGAGGGUAAAGCAACAUGGAUCCCAUCAGCCAAGCCUCUCCAAAGGAUGUGCUGCCCAAGCACAUCCUGGACAUCUGGGCCAUCGUCCUCAUUAUCCUGGCCACCAUUGUGAUCAUGACCUCUCUGGUGCUGUGCCCAGCCACAGCUGUUAUCAUUUACCGAAUUCGGACUCAUCCCAUACUUAAUCAAGCCUUUUGAAGCCUCUGGAUAUUGGGGGUGGAGGGAGGACCAGGCUGGGCCUUUGUUGCUAGAACCUGGCCUAGAAAACUCCCCCUCAUUAGCAAAGGAAUGAGAAGAGUCUUACCAUUAGGGAAAAUGGUUUGAAGCUACCAAAGGGGACUAGAUCUUGUCUGGGAAAUGCCUUUAUGAUGUAUGUCUUCAUCAGCAACCAUCAACAGUGAUGGAAGAAGGAAGCUUUCUGGCAGGGCUGGACUACUUCUGUCAAGCAGAUCCAGCCCAGUUUUAGGAUGUGCAAGCUAUGAGAGGAAGCCUCCUGAGUUUGGGACUUCUGGGAAUCAGAGAUGCUCCUAGAGAUAUCAUCAGGGACAAAGAUGACUGAGGACUUACUUCUCUCUUCCUACAUCCCCUUAAAAAUACAAGUUCUUCCAGUCACCAAUAAAGCCCUCUCUGUUCUAGGUAGUCCCCUAACAAGUUUUCUAUCAUGUUAAAUUCUUGGUAGGACUUUAUUCUUAGCUAGUUGCAAAUUAGCUAAGGUGCUAGCUUAUUAUAGUUUAAACACUCUUCCCCAUUAGAACAUUUAUAUUUUAAUAAAAUACUAUAUUCAAGCUUUCAUUGCCUAAAGGAAUGACUAGUAGUCAAUAAAAGUUUAUUAAGCACCUACUAUGUGCCAGGUAUUAUGUUAAACCCUGGAGAUAGACAAAGAAAGGCAAAAGCAAAGGCUCCCUACUUCAGGAAAUCCAUAGAUCUCAGACAUUGUGGCAAUUUCUUGGAAGAUAUUUGGGGAGAGGGCUCCUUCAGAGUUCUGGUUCUGUUCAACUGUCAGGAGCAUAUCUGUUGUAUUCUAUGAUAUGAUAUUUUUAGCUGGAAGAAGGUAGAGAGUUUGGCUGGUACAGGGAAGGUUGAACGUAGCAUUUCCCAAGUUCUUGCCACUGCUACCAUGGAGGAUCUAAAAACCAGAGCUCCUGGGGUAGAGAUUCUAAAGUUCUGCUGGGCACACAGACAUCCCCUGCCUCUCCAAAGAGAGCUAAGGCUGAACUUAGCAGGAGAAGCACUAUUGCCUAAUUCCUUAUCCACUCAUGAUUAUAUAUAUAUAUAUAUAUAUAUAUAUAUAUAUAUAUAUAUAUAUGUGUGUGUGUGUGUGUGUGUGUUCCAGGGCUGCUGGUCCUCAUUUUUGGGGGUAGGGCAAGGGACCAGCUAUGUGAUUUGAUUGGCGCUGAAUUUUCCACUAGUGAAUUGUGUGGCCUUAGCUAGAUAGGAAGUUGAGAUCUUAGAGGUUAAGUGAUUUUUUCCAACAUCACACAGAAAGUUAUUCAUAACAGAAUUGAGAAUUGAGUCCAGCACAAAUGAGUUUUAGUGGAGUGAUCCUCCUUCUAUAUCAUUCACAUUUUGGAGUAAGUGCAAAAUGGAGAAUGUAAAUGAUUAUUCAUAUUUUAUGACACUUUAAGUUUAGCAAAGGGCUUUCCUCAUAAAAGACCUUCGAGGAAGGUGAUAUUGCAAACAUCAUUAUUCUCAUUUUAAAGAUAGGGAAGCUAUGAUUCAAAGAAGACCACAAAGCCAAUAAGUGUCAGAGUUGGGACUUCCAUGCAGGCCUUUCCACUCCAGGUGUCCAUAUUCUUUCUUCCAUAGAUUGCUAUCCUGCAAAUUAUGAUGAGAAUACCCCCCCAGUUAUAGGGAAUGUGGCAUAGCCGAUAGCAAGCUGGCUUCAGACUUUUGUUUAAGACCUUUUUCUAACAUAUAUUAGCAGUAUGAUCACAUGUGCAUCAUACUUCUUGAUAUCCAGAAAACUAAGAUUAAAAAUUGUAGUACAUUUGCUAAUCUGUAUUGGUAGAUUGUUACCUUAUGGAGAGCUCCCUAUAACAAUCAAAUUACAGUUUCCGUUAAAAAUAUAUUCUACAAUGGCUCUAUGAACACAUCUAUUUAGAUGUCCCCUCUGAUGAUGUAUCUCACAAUCAUCUAUGUCCACCCAUCCUAGAUGACUCUUUUCUAGAUCCUUUCAUGUGAGAGUAAAAGAAGUGAAAGCUCUUUGAAAACUGUGAUAUAUGAGAUAAUGUGUCAAUGAAACAGGGAAUGUGAUGUCAGUAAUUCAGCACAUGCCCCUUUUCCUGUGCAAUUGAUUCACUGAUUGCCCAAGGCUUUCACCUACCCUUCCUUCCUUCCUUCUAGGCUCCAUAAUUUUUCUGUCCCCUCCUCUUGUUCUUUACUCAUUAUAAGGGAACCCUCCCAUGGCAUCUUUCCCCCAGGAUCUAAUCUCUGCUCAAGUGAGUGGGCACAUUACCUUUCCCAAAGAAGAGAUUUUAUUUUCUAAUGGAAGCUGUCCUACCCUGGUGACUCUACUGGGGACAUGUCAGCAAGGAUGGCAGGGGAGAUAUUUCUGGACAGAUAGGGCAAUAUCAUUACCAAGUAAGGGAAAUUCCUAGAGCUCAGAAAGUUGUUUGGGAAGACUGAACAAAGAUCUAGUAGGAAAAGAAUGUUUUUACUUAGUAUGUGUUCUGAUUUUCCAGAUGGACUCUUAAUUGCCAUUAAAAAUAACAGGAUGAGAAA